AUUGAACGCUGGCGGCAGGCUUAACACAUGCAAGUCGAGCGGGGGGAGGUAGCUUGCUACCUAACCUAGCGGCGGACGGGUGAGUAAUGCUUAGGAAUCUGCCUAUUAGUGGGGGACAACAUUUCGAAAGGGAUGCUAAUACCGCAUACGCCCUAAGGGGGAAAGCAGGGGAUCUUCGGACCUUGCGCUAAUAGAUGAGCCUAAGUCGGAUUAGCUAGUUGGUGGGGUAAAGGCCUACCAAGGCGACGAUCUGUAGCGGGUCUGAGAGGAGGAUCCGCCACACUGGGACUGAGACACGGCACAGACUCCUACGGGAGGCAGCAGUGGGGAAUAUUGGACAAUGGGCGGAAGCCUGAUCCAGCCAUGCCGCGUGUGUGAAGAAGGGCUUUUGGUUGUAAAGCACUUUAAGCGAGGAGGAGGCUACCUGGAUUAAUACUCUAGGAUAGUGGACGUUACUCGCAGAAUAAGCACCGGCUAACUCUGUGCCAGCCGCCGCGGUAACAC
rnacentral:rRNA from 1 species